rnacentral:rRNA from 1 species
UACGAAGGGGGCUAGCGUUGCUCGGAAUCACUGGGCGUAAAGGGUGCGUAGGCGGGUCUUUAAGUCAGGGGUGAAAUCCUGGAGCUCAACUCCAGAACUGCCUUUGAUACUGAGGAUCUUGGGUUCGGGAGGGGUGAGUGGAACUGCGAGUGUAGAGGUGAAAUUCGUAGAUAUUCGCAAGAACACCAGUGGCGAAGGCGGCUCACUGGCCCGAUACUGACGCUGAGGCACGAAAGCGUGGGGAGCAAACAGG